rnacentral:snRNA from 1 species
AUACUUACCUGGACAGGGUCUAUGGGCGAUCAAGGAGGCCCAUGGCCUAGGUUGGCGACCUCCAUUGCACUUAGGAGGGGUGUCUGCCUAUGGUCUCCUCACGUAGGAGAGCCAAUGUCAUAAUUUGUUGCUGUUGGGGCUUGCGUUCGCGCAGCCCCUGC